rnacentral:rRNA from 1 species
UGUACACACCGCCCGUCAAGCCAUGGAAGCUGGGGGUGCCUGAAGUCGGUGACCGCAGGGAGCUGCCUAGGGUAAAACUAGUAACUAGGGCUAAGUCGUAACAAGGUAGCCGUACCGGAAGG